rnacentral:rRNA from 1 species
UACAGAGGGUGCGAGCGUUGUCCGGAAUUAUUGGGCGUAAAGAGCUCGUAGGCGGUCUGUCGCGUCGGCUGUGAAAACCCGGAGCUCAACUCCGGGCCUGCAGUCGAUACGGGCAGACUGGAGUUCGGCAGGGGAGACUGGAAUUCCUGGUGUAGCGGUGAAAUGCGCAGAUAUCAGGAGGAACACCGGUGGCGAAGGCGGGUCUCUGGGCCGAUACUGACGCUGAGGAGCGAAAGCGUGGGGAGCGAACAGG